rnacentral:tRNA from 1 species
CCCUGGUUAGCUCAGUUGGUAGAUCGCUCCACUUGUAAUGGAGAGGUCCCGGGUUCGAUACCCGGACCAGGCG